GGCCCUGCCAGUGUCUCCGCCGGUUGAAAGCGCGUGUCUGCGUCGGGUUCUGUUGGAGUGCGUUCGGUGCGCCGUGGGUCCGCGCUGCUUCCACCCAACUUCCUGUUAGUUUCUCUCCUGUCACAAUGGCAUGAUCUCGGCUCACUGCGACCUCUGCUUCCUGGGUUCAAGGAUUCUCCUGCCUCAGCCUCCCAAGUAGCUGGGAUUACAGGAAUCUCACCAGUGACACGCGUUUGUGAAAAGCUGUGAAUAUUCAGUGCCACAGGGUUAAACCUCGGUACAGAAGCGAGACCCUGCUGGGCAGAGAAAGGGUGACCUGGAAGGUGUGUGAGGGCCCCGCCCAUGGGCCCCUGUGAUGGUCAUGGCCUCAAGAAUCACAGUCCAGGUUACAUUAGUUAUACACUCUGGAGGUGACUUGACCUGUCAUUGUGAACAAUUAUUGCUCUUGGACGACCCAGGACAUAGGCCAGCCAGUACGUACCCCAGUGUGUUGGAGAAUCGCGCUCGGCUUCUUCCUCUGUGCUGAGUCAUGAAAGUUGCCGGAGCAGGUGCAGUUACACAACCUCCAGGUAUGAUCCUGUUUAAGGACUGGAUUUAGGAUAACUACUUAGAGGUUAAAAGUCACAAGGGUGUAUGGAUGAGGCUGGAGUGAUCUGGGACCAAAGACAUCUAGGCUUGCUGUCAAGGCUUCUGAUCAACAUGAGAUGACCGCCGUGUGGUAAACUGAUGAACCCUGACCCUGAUCAACAUGAGAUGACCGCCGUGUGGUAAACUGAUGAACCCCGACCCUGAUGAACGUGAGAUGACCGCCGUGUGGUAAACUGAUGAACCCCGACCCUGAUGAACGUGAGAUGACCGCCGUGUGGUAAACUGAUGAACCCCGACCCUGAUGAACGUGAGAUGACCGCCGUGUGGUAAACUGAUGAACCCCGACCCUGAUGAACGUGAGAUGACCGCCGUGUGGUAAACUGAUGAACCCCGACCCUGAUCAACGUGAGAUGACCGCCGUGUGGUAAACUGAUGAACCCCGACCCUGAUGAACAUGAGAUGACCGCCGUGUGGUAAACUGAUGAACCCCGACCCUGAUCAACAUGAGAUGACCGCCGUGUGGUAAACUGAUGAACCCCGACCCUGAUCAACAUGAGAUGACUGCCGUGUGGUAAACUGAUGAACCCUGACCCAUUAGGCUUUGGCUACAGAAUGUGGAAAUAAGUUGUGUUACUACAUGUGUGUAAUCCUAGGGUGCAGGACACCGGCCGGGAGGUUCCAUAGAGUGAUGGGUUCUGCAGGUAACUCAUCCUCUAGUCCUCUGUAAGCUCCUAGAAGGAAGAAAUUAUGUCCUUUAGACUAAUAAAAUUCCUCCAAACCAAAUACAG
rnacentral:lncRNA from 1 species